AUUCCAGCUCCAAUAGCGUAUGUUAACGUUGUUGCAGUUAAAAGGCUCGUAGUCGAACUUGAAACCGCACAAAGGUAAUCCACUGUCUAGUACGGUGCGUGUUAUUCUUUGUUGGUUUUCUUUCUAAAGAAUGCAUCUGCACUUGAUUGUGUGGACUGUGUGCUUUAGAUCAUUUACUGUGAGUAAAUCAGAGUGCUCCAAGCAGGCAAUUGCUCUGAACGCUUUAGCAUGGAAUAAUAACAUAGGACUUUGAUUCUAUUUAUUGGCUUCGGAAUCGAAGUGAUGAUUGAAAGGGAUGGUUGGGGGUGCUAGUAUUUAACGGUUAGCGGUGAAAUGCAUGAUCCGUUAAAGACUAACUUAUGCGAAAGCAUUCACCAAGGACAUUUUCAUUA
rnacentral:rRNA from 1 species